UAUGCAGUUAUAGUGCGUAUUAAAUUUAGUAUAGAAGCCUCAAAAAAAGUUAGAAGCUUCGAAAACUUUCUCAAUCCCACCAUACUCGAAGCCACGCACGGCGCACAAUCACCAAAACCCCAAACCAGUAAACCACCACUCCCCAUAAUUCAAAUUCUCCCAGCUGCACCAAAAUCCCCUCAAUUCUCAAUUCAAUUUGCAAGUGAAUUCGCAGUUUUAAAACUGGAAUUUAUCAUUCCCAAUUGUUAAUCUCCAUUGACGGGUUCAAUUCACCACUCGUAGCUCCAUACAAUCCAUCACCGCUGACCACUCGAAUUUUCUCGUUAUUCCGCUUUAUUGAUUACCAAUGGCCGCCGCGUCCACUGUAGAGCAGUUUUUGCGCCUCCCUCUCUUAGGUCUAGUCGGAUCUACUUCCGCUUUAGAAUUGCUCCUUUUCUAUCCUGCACUCCAAUACUCGCACUAGCUGCUCUGGAGCGAACUCGGGAUUGUUCCGAAGCCUUUCGCCUUAAAGGAACGUAGUCGCUUAAGCGAAGCUUUCGGUUGGAAAGGUUUACUUUGACUUUUUCGAGAGGAACAAGCAACGGGUGAGCUACCGCUUUCUUAGUUGCUUGUUCAG